UGCGGCGUGCUUAACACAUGCAAGUCGAACGGUGACGGAGGAGCUUGCUCCCCCUGAUCAGUGGCGAACGGGUGAGUAACACGUGAGUAACCUGCCCCAGACUCUGGGAUAACAUCGGGAAACCGGUGCUAAUACCGGAUAUGAGACGAGACUGCAUGGUCAUCGUCUGGAAAGAUUUAUCGGUCUGGGAUGGACUCGCGGCCUAUCAGCUAGUUGGUGAGGUAAUGGCUCACCAAGGCGACGACGGGUAGCCGGCCUGAGAGGGCGACCGGCCACACUGGAACUGAGACACGGUCCAGACUCCUACGGGAGGCAGCAGUGGGGAAUAUUGCACAAUGGGCGCAAGCCUGAUGCAGCAACGCCGCGUGGGGGAUGAAGGCCUUCGGGUUGUAAACCCCUUUUAGCAGGGAAGAAGCGAAAGUGACGGUACCUGCAGAAAAAGCGCCGGCUAACUACGUGCCAGCAGCCGCGGUAAUACGUAGGGCGCAAGCGUUGUCCGGAAUUAUUGGGCGUAAAGAGCUCGUAGGCGGUUUGUCGCGUCUGCUGUGAAAGUCCGAGGCUCAACCUCGGAUCUGCAGUGGGUACGGGCAGACUAGAGUGUGGUAGGGGAGACUGGAAUUCCUGGUGUAGCGGUGGAAUGCGCAGAUAUCAGGAGGAACACCAAUGGCGAAGGCAGGUCUCUGGGCCAUAACUGACGCUGAGGAGCGAAAGCGUGGGGAGCGAACAGGAUUAGAUACCCUGGUAGUCCACGCCGUAAACGGUGGGCACUAGAUGUGGGGCUCUUUCCAUGAGUUCCGCGUCGCAGCUAACGCAUUAAGUGCCCCGCCUGGGGAGUACGGCCGCAAGGCUAAAACUCAAAGGAAUUGACGGGGGCCCGCACAAGCGGCGGAGCAUGCGGAUUAAUUCGAU
rnacentral:rRNA from 1 species